rnacentral:lncRNA from 1 species
GAUCAGAGAGAAAAUAUGAGCAAAUUGUCACCGCCAACUUUUUUCCAUGGAUCGAGGCCUCCUCUCCCUCCUUUAGCCGCCUCAUCUUGAGACCACCACCUCUCCCAAAAACCUUGUAUCAUAGCUUAGACAUAACUUCUGACCUUUGUUUAUACAUCCUUUCUUUUUGCAAUUUUUCUAGUAACCUUUUAAGCUGCUCAGUUGAGUUGUUUGAUUACCAUGCUUUGCUCGUCUAGCAAUUUGAUGUAGAAAGAAAAAUAAAAGAUAAGACGAGUUUUUAUGGCAUCACCUCUCUUACUUUCUGCUUGGCUUGUUAAAUAUUUGUCAAUAAAGCUCUUUUGUUCUGGCAGGUAUUGCUGUCACUGCAUAGUGGAGUUUUGCUGAAACUUUGAAGGUUGAAAUAUCCUUUCCUCUGGUCAUGCAAGUAUCCCCCCUAUAGAUAAGCAUCGUGGUUGGACAGAAAAGACUGUCCAAUGCUUUAGAUACAAUAACAAUGCGUUUAGCAUGUUAUGUAUUGCCUCUUCAACUUUAUUUAGGGUUUAUGCUUCACCUUUAAUUAUUGAAGGAAUCAAGGAAAUUGAUAAAACCUGGAUAGAUUAAAUCGUUAAAUUAUCAUUAUCUAUCUUCCCCUGUAUUCAAUAAUUUAACAAGCUGAUUUCUGUUCAAACUUAGCAAGUCCUAGGAGUGUUAAAAUUUCUAUACAGUAACAGGGCCUGAUCUACCAGUUUGCCAAGACGCGAGUUGUUAGGGCUUGACUUCACAUCAAGUAUUGGGGCUCUACGACAGAAAAGCUAUGUUUGCAACUCAGCCUUUGAGUGCAAAUGGGGAUAUUUGGAGGGUUAAACCUGUGCUUUAGAAAGGGUAAGAAGAGUAAUCUUAUCUUCUUCAAUACACAAAGGAUAAGGAUACUUUUACUCAGAACAGGAAAUCAGCUGCUGAUUGGGAAACUAAAGACUGAUAGCUCUAAAUUCAUAUCAUUUGCCAUCGAUUAUUCCUGGUUCUAACCUCCAGUUACCUUUGUUCUUGAAUUUUACUUGUGAAUAUAAUCUGUUCCCAACUAGCCCGAGAGACCAAAAAAGGCUCAAAUGAUCCGAAACCAGCCAAUAACUGAUCCACCAACCAACCCUAUUCCUGGCUAGGAACACAACAAUUGCAAUUGCAGAUAACUCUGCCUCUGAAACUGAUACUGCCAUGGGAGCAAGGAUCAUGAGAACACUUGUCAGAUAGCCACUAGUCACUCCGAGCAUGAAAGUUAGAAUUGCCACGGGUACUUCAGUUUUCAGCCACUUUGGUCCAUUGAGACAAGCUGCCAAGAGAGGAUUGAACACAAGCCUGAGAAUGCAACCCCAUGUUGCCUUCUUAAUGCUCUGCAGAACAUAUAUUGCGGUUAAAGAUUUCCCUGUGAAGUCUGCAACAUUGUAUAUUGUUAUCAGCAAAACGGGAUACCAAUCUUUUAGUAAUUUGGAGGAGAGAUCUUCUGCUAUGAAACCAGGAAAUACCGACAAAUUCACGAUAUAAAUCAUGAGAACACCAAAAGCUGGCCAUCGGAUUUUUCUUGCUACAGCCCGAAAUUUUGGUUUUGGAAACAGUGAAUCAUCAGGAGCAAGUUUGUAACGUGUUCCAUAUCUGGUAGUUUGUAUAACAAAUUGGAAGAGAGAGCGCAACACAGCAGAAUGAUAUGGCACUAACUAUAAAGUAGAAAUGAGCACUUGUUCGGAGACGUUGAGGGUUCUGAGGGAGUGAUGCCUUUGUAAUGAUCCUCAAGAUGGAAAUGAGAACACCUGUUACAAGCAAUUGAUGUAGUCAGGGGAACUGAGUAUGAUUUUUUGAGCUGUCUAACAAUAUCUGCUUCACCACAGUAUACUUGAUUUCACUCACCUGCUUCUUACAUGCAAAAUAAAGUUCAGGCAAGACAACAAACAUGUUUUUUACAUCUUUCUCCUAAAAAUAUGCUAAGAAUUAUACAGUUUAAAACCAACUUCUGGGAAGCAUGACUGAUAGAGGCAAUAGAGUUGGUUUCUGAUGGAUUUAUUGAGGCUCUAGUCCCCUUCAAUCUCAAAACUCAUGAAAUUCUGAAUCACUUGAUGCUCCACAAGGCAUGGAAACUGUUCAAAUCUUUCCAGAAGUUAUGUUGUGCCAACAAAGUACUUGCUGGCAAUGAUGGAAAAAGUGAAAACAUGCUAUUGCUGGAAAUGAUUGCUUAUUCUGAAUAACCUGUCUAAGGUAAACAGUGAAGAUUUGUGCCUCGAUCUAAAUUCCUGGAAGUAAAUCUAUAACUUUGGCCCUGAAAGGAAAAGACAGUCUCCUUGGGAUGCUAUUUAUCUUCAUCAAAUUCUCUCCACCAGGUGAAAAUGAUUCCUUGACCACUAUGUUGUUUGUUUUUAACUCAUAAUUUGGAAGAGACAAUAUCGUUUAUCAUGAUGAGAACUUACCAUUGACCAUGUAUCCUACUCAUCUACUCUUUGAUACUUCCUUUUCUGUUGAAUCAUGGAAAAAAUGAUAGAAAAGUUGGUAGUUGUGGUAUUAUAUAAUACCUGCAGAGGCAGUUCCUGCAAAAACAGCCUGCUUUUAAAUUACUGUACUAAUUUUUUUUUUUUAAAUCUCUUCAUGGCAAGUCUUUAGCAAUGCAAGAUUUGAUUGCUCUCUAAUUUUAGUAUCUCUACAGGGUUUUCACUCGUGCCAAACUGGCCCUGUCAGGAGUGGUGCCUUGUGUCAAGAUAUCAAAUGCUCUGCCUCAGCCACCUCAGCUUCAACCACCUCAGCUUCAGCCACUCUGCUUCAGCCACCUGUCAAAGAGAAUAGAGAAUAUAAUGGUUAGCAAAGUUUGUUAAUAUGGUAAGGCAGUUAAUGCAUUCUGUUACAGCUGAGGAGAAAACGUAACCAAACUUCUCAUCUACAGCAGUAUAUAAAUGAAUGUAAUAGUGAUGGUAACGUAACAAAAAAAAGUGAAUAAAACAUAUAGACAUUUUCUUCUUCUUCCUCUGCAUUACAGUAGUAUAUUUCUCUACUUCUAUUCUGCUUCUUGUUCAUCUCUAUAAUUCUUGCUAGUCUUUCAUGGUAUCAGAGCAUUAGGAUUGUUAGUAUCUUGUGAGCUUGUGAUUUCUCUGUCUCUAAUCUCUGUUUCUGGUGUUAUUAUCGCCAUAUUCAAUAAAAAAAAAUCAAUAACAAUGAUCUGCCUAUAAGCUGUUUGAUAUAUUGUCAAACUGAAAGACUUCUCUUGAAACACUCUUCUCAACUUGUGAUUUCUGUGAUUCUCUUCCUCCUCAUUACCUAAUCUCAGUCGUUUGAACUUCAAAAAUGAUAACAACUUCUCAACUACAGAUUCUCCAAUCUCCCAUUACCUCUUUACUUCCUACAGUUUCAACAGCAGUAACUGUUAAAUUGGAUGACACAAAUUACCUCAUCUGGAACUUUCAAAUGCAAAUUCUACUGGAGAGUCAUGGUAUUUCAGGAUUUGUUGAUGGAUCAACAAAGUGUCCACAUCGGUUUGAUGCAGCUUCUGAUGUUGAAGGUGCUGAAACUGAUGAUUAUAAAAUUUGGAAAAUGCAUGACCGGGCAUUGAUGCAGUUGAUUAUUGCUACUCUCUCUUCAACUGCAAUCUCCUACGUUAUUGGAUGUGUUAGCUCUCAUGACAUGUGGAUUCAACUGAAGGAUAGAUUUUCCACAAUUUCCAAGGCACGAAUAUUUCAGAUGAAAAGUGAGCUUCAAACCAUCAAGAAGGGCUCCGAUACUGUGACUCAAUAUUUGCAGAAAAUCAAGGAUGCUCGGGAUCAUCUUUCUGCAGCAGGGGUUUAUUUUGAAGAUGAUGACAUUGUCAUCUUGGCUCUCAAUGGUCUUCCUUCUGAUUAUAACACCUUUCGGUGUAUGGUUCGUGGCAGAGACAAUGUGUUAUCUCUUAAAGAUUUUCGGUCUCAAUUGCUGGCUGAAGAAGCUACUCUUGAGCAAACUUAUUCUGCUGCUUCAUUUGUUCCUGCAAUGAUGGCUCAACAUCAGGGAUCUCCUGGCAAAGCUCUUGCUCUUGAUGAAGGUAGCCUUCAUUCUCAUCCUUCUAACUCCAAGUCUGCUCCUCCUCCUGGCUUCCAUGGAGGAUUUAAUGGUCAUAACAGUGGAUUUCAUGGUUCCAAUGGUGGAUAUUUUGGCACUCGGGGGUCUCACUUUAAAGGACGUGGCAGAGGACGUAAUCAGUAUCAGUUCAGCCCACGUCCUUAUCAGGUUCCACCUACAUCUCACCCUGGUCUUCUUGGUCCUGGCAUUGACAUUCCUACAUGUCAAAUUUGCACUAAGAAAGGUCAUGUAGCUGCUGAUUGUUAUCAGCGUCACACUCUGCCUCCUAAUCCUGCCACUUCCAUUCAAUGUCAAAUUUGUUGGAAAUUUGGGCACACUGCUGUUCAGUGUUACCAUCGAGGUAAUUUCAGCUAUCAAGGCCGGCCUCCCUCCAGUAAUCUUAGUGCUAUGCAUGCUGCGUUUCCACCUGCUUCUCCUCCAGAACAAUUUUGGGUGGCUGAUACUGGCGCCACCACACAUAUGACCUCUGAUUUGGCUCAACUUAAUCUGGCUGCACCUUUCUCAGGAGCUGAUACUGUUACCACAGCUGGAGGUUCAGGUUUGACCAUCUCUAAUAUUGGUUCUUCUAUUCUGGAUGUCCCUCAUUGCUCCUUACAAUUAAAGCAAGUUUUGCAUGUGCCAAAACUCUCUCAACACUUGUUAUCGGUUCAUAAGCUGUGCAAAGAUAACAACUGCCGUUUUAUUUGUGAUGCUUUUGGUUUUUGGAUUCAGGACAAAAUCACGGGGAAUGUCCUCCUCAAGGGACUGUGUAGAGCUGGGUUAUAUCCUAUUCCUUUUUCUUUUUCAUUUCCUUCGCAGUCUUUCUUUCCAAUAAUCCAGUUUGUUAUCUUGGUAAACAGGUCCACACAAGUCUUUGGCACAAGCGUCUUGGUCAUCCUUCAAACACAGUCACCUCUACUCUGUUAAAACAAUCCCAGAUUCCUUUCACCUCAGACACAUCCAAAUUUGUUUGUACCACUUGUUUAGAAGGUAAACUUGCCAAACUUCCUUUUCCUUAUCCGGCAGUUAAAUCUGUUAAACCUUUAGAGGUCAUUCAUAGUGAUGUUUGGGGGCCUUCUCCCACUGUAUCUGUUGAAGGUUUCAGAUAUUAUGUUAGCUUCAUUGAUGAAUGUACUCGAUUUACUUGGAUUUUUCCAAUGAUUAAUAAAGGAGAGGCUUAUUCCAUUUUUGUUUCCUUUCAUACCUUCUUAGUUACUCAAUUCUCUGCUACUCUUCGAGUCUUUCAGAGUGAUGGGGUGGUGAGUAUCUUAGUAAUAAUUCAAACAUUACCUCCUUACCAAGGGUAUUAUCCAUCAAAUGUCUUGUCCCUAUACUCCGGAACAAAAUGGCCUUGCUGAGCGCAAACAUCGACAUAUUUUAGAAACAGCCAUUACUUUAUUACAAACUACCCAUUUACCUCCAAAAUUUUGGUUUCAUGCUUGUGCUACUUCCAUUUAUUUGAUUAAUAGAAUGCCCUGUCAAAUUCUUCAACACAACUCACCAUAUUUCCUGCUAUAUGGCUCUCCACCCGUUGUUCAUCAUUUGCGAAUUUUUGGUUGUGCUUGUUUUCCUUUACUCAAGCCUUAUAAUUCUAACAAGCUUCAGCCCAAGACUUCCACUUGUAUUUUUCUAGGGUAUGCAGGUCAGUAUAAGGGGUAUAUUUGUUUUUCUAUUCGCACAAAUCGUUUCUUUGUCACUAGACAUGUUCUAUUUGAUGAAUCUAUGUUUCCUUACUCUCAUGUGCUUCCUGUAUCCCCUUCCACUUCCUCAUUCCCUUGUCUACAUCCCACUAUGUUCCCUCUUAUUUCUCCUCCUCCUCAAGUGGCUGCAUCUCAGCCUCCAUUAUCUCCCAGUUCCUCCUCACAGCCUACAUUGUCUCCACCUCAGCCCACUCUGUCACCUACACAGUCUCCUCUCCCUGUUGAUCCUGACUUCCAGCCUGAGAAUCUAUGUGUGGUCUUACCUCUUUCCCCACUAAAUCUUCAUCCCAUGACCACCAGGUCUAAGAAUGGUAUCUCCAAAAGAAAGGCUUACUCUGCCUCUGUCCAGUUUGUUGCUUCUUCUCAGGUUGAACCCCAUUCCUUCAAGGCUGCUUCCACCAUUCCUGAAUGGCAGUCUGCUAUGCGAGAGGAGCUUGAUGCUCUUCAUGCCCAAGGUACUUGGGACUUGGUGCCUCUUCCACCUAGCAAAAAUCUUGUUGGCUGUAAAUGGGUCCGAAUCAAAAAGAAUGCAGAUGGUUCUAUCGCUAGGCAUAAAGCUCGGUUGGUGGCCAAGGGUUUUCAGUCAAGAGGAAGGUAUUGACUAUCAUGAAACCUUUAGUCCUGUCGUGAAACCUACUAUGGUUCGUUUGGUCCUUGCUCUUGCUGCUUCAGUUUAACUGGUCUUUACGGCAACUUGACGUUACCAAUGCCUUUUUGCAUGGUCUUCUGCAUGAGGAGGUUUAUAUGGCUCAGCCCCCAGGUUUUGUGAGUAAGCUUCAUCCUUCUGACUUUGUUUGCAGACUCAAGAAAUCGUUAUAUGGCCUUAAACAGGCUCCUCGUGCCUGGAAUGAACGCUUCACCAGUUUUUUACCAAGUUUGGGAUUUCAAGCAUCUUCUGCCGAUCCAUCUUUGUUUGUUCAGCAUUCUUCUCUUGGUGUUGUGAUUUUGCUACUCUAUGUUGAUGAUAUCAUCCUUACUGGUAGUCAUGCUUCUCUUCUUUCUUCAGUCAUUGUUGCCUUGACUCAAGAAUUUGAUAUGAAGGAUCUCGGCAGGUUGCAUUAUUUUUUGGGAUUGCAGAUCACAUAUCUCCCUUCCGGUUUGUUUGUGUCCCAGACGAGUUACAUCACUGACUUACUUAGUAGAGUUGAUUUACAGCAUUCCAAAUCUUGUGAUACUCCUUGUCUUCCUCAUCAUCAUUUGCUCAAGGAUGAUGGACAACCCUACUCUCAUCCUCAACAGUAUCGCAGUAUUGUUGGUGCCUUGCAGUAUCUCACGUUCACCAGGCCUGAUAUUGCCUUCUCUGUCAACCAGGCUUGCCAAUUUAUGCAUAAUCCCAUGCAUUCUCAUGUUUUGCUGUCAAACGGAUAUUGCGGUAUCUUAAAGGUACCCUUGAUGUUGGUCUUCAUUUUCAGGCUGGUCCUCUUCAUCUCCAAGCUUAUAGUGAUGCUGACUGGGCCGGUGAUCCCAAUGAUCGUCGUUCUGUCUCUGGCUCUAUUGUCUUCCUCGGCUCUAGUCCUAUUUCUUAGGCUUCUAAGAAACAACAUACUGUUUCUCGCUCCUCUACUGAAGCUGAGUAUCGCGCUCUUGCGAUUGCUGCUGCUGAACUUGCUUGGAUUCGCCAGCUUCUCUGUGACGUUCACAUUCCUUUACAUAUCCCUCCGAUCAUUCAUUGUGAUAAUAUCUCUGCUAUUUCCCUUGCUUCCAAUCCUGUUUUCCAUUCCAGAAUGAAGCAUCUCCAAAUUGAUUAUCAUUUUGUUCGCGAACGUGUUAUCAAAGGUGAUUUGUUGGUUCAACAUGUCUCUUCCGCUGAUCAAUUUGCUGAUAUUCUCACUAAAGGUCUUUCCACUCCUUUAUUUCGGCGUCACUGUUUCAAUCUUAUGCUUGGUUCCUCCAAGCAUAUGAUUGCGGGGGAAUGUCAAGAUAUCAAAUGCUCUGCCUCAGCCACCUCAGCUUCAGCCACUCUGCUUCAGCCACCUGUCAAAGAGAAUAGAGAAUAUAAUGGUUAGCAAAGUUUGUUAAUAUGGUAAGGCAGUUAAUGCAUUCUGUUACAGCUGAGGAGAAAACGUAACCAAGCUUCUCAUCUACAGCAGUAUAUAAAUGAAUGUAAUAGUGCUGGUAACGUAACAAAAAAAAGUGAAUAAAACAUAUAGACAUUUUCUUCUUCUUCCUCUGCAUUACAGUAGUAUAUUUCUCUACUUCUAUUCUGCUUCUUGUUCAUCUCUAUAAUUCUUGCUAGUCUUUCACCUUGAAGUGAAAGGUUAGUCCUUUCUGUGUGAAGUAGGUCCUCUGUUGAUUUAUCAUGCGGAACUCGUUUUUGUCCUCAGAUGUCAAGAGAUGUUCAGAACUGUAGACAUCUUUAACAUCAGUCAAUACUGCUAUUAUAAGCUGCAAUUAUUCCUUUCCUUUCUUCUCUUUUUUCUGCUACUUUAUGAUGACAGCUAAACUAUCGAUCCACAACCCACCAUCGUCCCCGCAACCUGGUGGUAGAAUCCUACCUUAAAGAAAGGCUUGAUCUUCUACAAAAUAUAUCAAGAUGAUGAUCAUCAUCAUGUUAUUCUGCUAUUGGUUUGAAAGUUUCUGCAGUAUUUGCAACUGUAAUGGACACAGACAUGAGAGAAUAGUAAUGGAUACAGUAUUUGCAACUGUUAACUAAUCACAACACAAAAGCAGCAAUUCAAGAGCAUGUCAUAGCAGAACUUUUAGACCAUAAAGAACACAAAAAAACGAAGAAAAAAGAGAAGCUAAUGUUGUCCAUACUUCGAAAUUAUUUAGCUACAUUCCAUAAUGGAGAUGGACUUGACUUCCCUUCAUGGUCAUGCAUGUGACCCUAAGCACACACCUUUAUAUAUUUGUUUCCAAAGAUGGGAGAGUGUCGCACCACCAUUCGCGUACACAUUUUUCUAUGCAGAAUAGUUACCCUGUUCUUGCCAUUUAUGUGGGCAAUUGUCAUGUUACUUCUUCAACACACGCUUUCUGAACUGGGCUCCUUUCAUGGCCCUCACACCUUUUCUAAGGUGUCUCCGCUUGUCGUUAUGCGACGGUCUAAACUAGGGCUCCUAUCGUGGCUCAUAGUUUGGCACAUAUAAUUGGGUAAACAUGUGCACCUUCUUCUUCUUCAUCUCCAUUGACCACCAUGAUGACCUUUAGAUGCCUCCUAAUCGGGCAAUCUCUUUUUAAUAAUUCACCAUUGUCAUUUUCGGUCUCAAAUCUCAACGAUCGGACCGUACCAUUGCAUCCGGAAUGAUCAAAUUAGCUGGAAACAUGUCUUGAAUCGUCCAAAUCGCACUUCAGACGGCUAAGAUUUGAUCAAAACAAUUCUGGCCUGAUAAACGGCUCAGAUUCACUAUCAGAUCCGGUUGCACGUAGGAUCAACUACACUGGAUCCUAUACCUCGGCUCGCGGCUCGGCUCGGCUCCAACUCAGCUUGGCUCCACUCGGCUCAGCUUGGCUCGGCUCGCGGCUGAUGACAUGGCAGGUGGGUCCCGCUAUGCUGACAUGUUAGUUGACUAGUCAACUGACUUGCUGACUGUGUAUGUGAUGUCACCUUGCAUCAUGAUGACGUCAUCCUUUGCAUGGCACUGUUCAUGACACGUCACUGUUCAUGUCUACUGUUCACAUGGGUCGGGUCAACUCAUCCGGGUGAAGAAGACGCGUGGGGCGCGUUGGCGCGCGUGGGUAGACGCCUUGCCGGAGAGUGAUGGAGAGUGCGGCCAUGUCCGACGUCCGAUUUUGACGCCGUUUUCACCAGUGGCUUCGUAUCGUCCUCCUCUACACAGUGGGAUGGUCAAAACACCAUUUUGACAACUUUCAUUUUUAAGCAAAGAUCAAACACCACUUUAAACCAAAAAAGCUCUGAUACCAUUUGAUGGGGCGGAAUCCGGGACCGGUGAUGUACUGAUCAUUGCUCAUCGGAGGGGUAAGCACACUGAGACACAAUAUUUAACGUGGUUCAGCAAAUUGCCUACAUCCACGGGAGAGGUUCAUUUUAUUUAGAGAUAGAGAAAGAAUACAACACAUGAAGGAGGAUCACAUUCACUCAACUCCCAUCUCUCAUUGCUACAUAGGGCAACAGCUGCUAGUGGCAGCCCUUCUCUUUCUUUCUCUCUUCUUCUCUCUUUUGUAGCUCUCCUACAAGACUCUCUCUCUCAUUUUGUGAUGCACUCUUGGUGUCUAUUUAUAGGCUUCAAUGACAGCUCCUCUUGCUCCUUUGUCAUCAAUGGUGGCUGCCAAACUCAUCUCUUCUUCAACAAUGGUGGCUACCAAAGUCAAGGUUGGUGGUUGCCACCAACAAGCCUCCUUCUUUGACUCUCACAUGGCAGCCAUCUUCUUUGACAAGGCAGCCACAUAAUUGGCAAUAUUCCAACACUAUUUGCUAGUACAGUAACAGGACCUGAUCUACCAGUUUGCCAAGACCUGAUCUACCAGUUUGCCAAGAUGUGAGUUGUUAGGUUAGGGCUUGCCCUUCACAUCAAGAAUUGGGAUUCUACGACUGCAAAGCUAUGCUUGCAACUCAAGCUAAGCCCUGUAAGACUUAAAUAAUGUUAUUAUUUUUGGUCCAUGCCAGCUCCCUGAUUGAUAGUAUCAAACAGCCUCCAGCUAGAGAUUGAAUAGUCAAAGUCUCGACAAAGACUAGUGGAAGCCUGGCGGACAAGCUGUCAUUGAACGUUAUAGCUUCAUUUUCUAAGCAAAUUCACUAACAGCUACCGCGGGGGAUUCUGAUUCGCGUGUUCUGAGAUAUAUCGAGAUUUUCUUGUUUUAAUUAUCUUUCAGUGUAUGUUUGAGGUCAUCUGGCCUCUGUUACAUCAUCCUUUUGAGUGCAAAUGGGAAUAUUUGGAGAGUCGAACCUGUGCUUUAGAAAGGGUAAGAAGAGUAAUCUAAUCUUCUUAAAUACACAAAGGAUAAGGAUACUUUCACUCAGAACAAGAAAUAAAACAUCGAAAAAUAAUUUAUUUUUCAAAAUAAAACUAUUUUCCAGUAAAAUUAUUUUUCAGUAAAUAAACGGGGUCUAAAUAUUGUGUUUGUAAAAUAAAACAAGUUAAUAUAUGUUUUUUUACCAAAAAAAUUUCAAAUGAUAUUAUUUUACCAUAACUUUUAAAUUACUGUACUAAUUUAAAAAAAAAAAUCUCUUCAUGGCAAGUCUUUAGCAAUGCAAGAUUUGAUUGCUCUCUAAUUCCAGCAGCUUUAAAGGGUUUUCACUUGUGCCAAACUGGCCCUGUCAGGAGUGGUGCCUUGAAGUGAAAGGUUAGUCCUUUCUGUGUGAAGUAGGUCCUCUGUAUGAUUAUCAUGCAUAACUUGAUUUUGUCCUCAGAUGUCAAGAGAUGUUCAGAACUGUAGACAUCUUUAACAUCAGUCAAUACUGCUAUUAUAAGCUGCAAUUAUUCCUUACCUUUCUUCUCUUUUUUCUGCUACUUUAUGAUGACAGCUAAACUAUCGAUCGACAACCCACCAUCGUCCCAGCAACCUGGUGGUAGAAUCCUACCUUAAAGAAAGGCUUGAUCUUCUACAAAAUAUAUCAAGAUGAUGAUCAUCAUCAUGUUAUUCUGCUAUUGGUUUGAAAGUUUCUGCAGUAUUUGCAACUGUAAUGGACACAGACAUGAGAGAAUAGUAAUGGAUACAGUAUUUGCAACUGUUAACUAAUCACAACACAAAAGCAGCAAUUCAAGAGCAUGUCAUAGCAGAACUUUUAGACCAUAAAGAACACAAAAAAACGAAGAAAAAAGAGAAGCUAAUGUUGUCCAUACUUCGAAAUUAUUUAGCUACAUUCCAUAAUGGAGAUGGACUUGACUUCCCUUCGUGGUCAUGCAUGUGACCCUAAGCACACACCUUUAUAUAUUUGUUUCCAAAGAUGGGAGAGUGUCGCACCACCAUUCGCGUACACAUUUUUCUAUGCAGAAUAAACAAUAUUUUUUUUGUUAAUAAUUGUUUUUUGUCCACAUAUCCCCACCAUUGAACAUACAAGCACAGCAACUAAUGAUAGUUCUAAUCUCUCUAUCAGUAGUGAUGGGCACCAGGUAAGUAAGUCAAAAAGAAACCGAGGCCAUUCACAUCCAAGAUUGCGAUUAAGGCGAUUAAGGAAUAUUUGUUUCAGUAUUUUAAAAAUAUUUUUAAAAAUUUAAAUUUUUUAGUUUUUUAUUAAUUUUAAAUUAAUAUAUUUUUAACGUUUUUAAAUCAUUUUAAUAUACUGAUGUGAAAAAUAAUUUUUAAAAAAUAAAAAAAUAUAAUUGACAUAUAUUUUAAUAAAAAACAUUAUUUAAAAAGCAAUCACAACCAUGGUACCAAAUAAGCUUCUAAACAAGGCAAUUCAAGCCAUCAAAACUCAUCCAAGAGCUUUACACUAGUUCAUAACAAUCACACACCCUCUACGAUUUUCAUUUCAUGUACAUUAAUGUUUUCUCCACCUAUAUUUAUUGAGCUAAGCAUCGGAUGAUCUCCUGGUUCUGAUAAAUAAUGCGUUCGCAAAUGGCACCGAAGUGUUGCGUAACUUCAAGGGUUGGUGCUCACUGCAUCCAUGGCACUCCACAUAGAACAAAGAAUGGGAUACGGAGGAGCCUCUUGCUCCAAACCCAACCCGCCAUCAAUCCAAAACAAAAACCCAACAAAAACGACGUGAAUGUAGCCAUGGGAGCUCAAAUUCAAAGCUUGGUUUCAAAUGGGGUUUUCUCAAAGAUCUAAAUUUCAUUGAUUAUAUAGUAAAAGGCUGUUAAUACUAAUAUUUUACGCAAGAAGGACAUCAUGAGAGAGGACAUGAGAGCUUGAGAAGCUCGAGUCAUGGGUCCUACGUAAUGUGCUCCUCAUAUAUAUUUCUAAUUGGCAGGCUGAGAGGGUUACCAUACCAUUUUAUCCAAGCUUGAUCAAGUUUUGAUCGUUUGUAUAUAUUAUCAGAAUGAAGAUGCUUCGAGGCUUUUACUUGGCUGCCAAGCCAUUAUGAGUCUCCUUCACACAAAUUUGCUUGGAAAUUCCAUAUCUAUCGCUCUUUCUGGUAAUGGUCCAUUACGACAAAUUAAGCACAAUAUAUUAUAAAUAUUUCACGAUCCAUGGUGCCAUCACUAGCUAGCUUUACAUGGAUAGAAAUGUUAGAUUCUUGGAUAUCGUUGCAUGCGGUGCUAAUCGAUUGUGCCAUCCCGUUUUACUUGGUCUGAAUUUGUGUUCAUGUUUUUCCACAGAGACUGCUGGAAGUAGCUUCAUGGGCUCCUCCAUUUUAAGAUGGUAAUGCUCUUUAAAGAAUAGAGGAGAAGAAGCAGCCUUACAGGAUGCUUCGUCCUCCAUCAAAUAUCCAAAUAGUUACCCUAUGAAUAUUAAUUAACACUACCUUUUUUAAAAAAAAUGCGUAUUUUUUUUUCUUUUUUUCUGUUUGAUCGAUGGUUUUUGCAAAAGAAAAUAUUUUUUAAUUAAGAAUUUCUCCUUUGAAAAUAAUGAUGUGCCUUUUUAUAAAACUCUACCUCUUUUUAUUUUAUUUUUAUCAUCAUCAUCAUCAUUAUAACCACUACAUCACCCUCGUCAUCUCUACCAUUUCAGGUAUUAGCUUAGGUAUCAAGCAGAUUUACAUCAUAUCCUGUCGUUUUGGGUUAAACUAGUGAGAUUGGAAUAAAAAAAUUUCUUAUAAAUACAUCUGUUUGAGUGUGAAUUGCAUACUUAUACUCAAUAAUGAAGUUUUUUUUAUGUUGAUGAUUUUUAACCUUUUUCUUUAUUUUUUAUAUAUCAUCAUCUAUAUAUCACAUUAUUGUUUUAUCUUCAAUCUUAUUCCUUUUCGAUAAUUAGUAUUAUAAAUUGAAACACUUUAGAUCAAUUAAUAAAAUCAUUUCAAAUAAAAUUCAUAAAUGUUAUGGGAUUGAAGUACAUUGAAUGGAAUAAGAUGAUUUUUUUCUAAUAACUUGAUUAGUAUUUGGUUAUUAUUUAGAGAUAGAAAAAAUGAAUACAAAAAUAAAUAAAUAAAAACUUGUUUGAUUGAAAUGACAUGGAUGAAUACAUAAAAUUAAUUUAUAAAUCUUAAAAUUAAUUUCUCUAUUUUAAAAACAAAAAGGAUAUGAAGAAACAUCUCACAUGUCUUCACUGUAUCUAUCUUUAAUUUUUUUGUCAUAAAAUAAUAAACAAAUGUUAGUUUAAAUAUUAAUAUUAUUUUCUCAUAUCUAAAAAUCUCUCGUUCAAACCUCCAUAUAUAAAACUAACGUUAAAAUUAAGCUCUUAUAGUUGCAUGGUUCAUAGGCAAUGGACCUCCACGUGCGAACAAUACCUCUCAUGUGUCAAUUUCUUAUUUGUUAAAAUUCUCCCCAAGUACAAGGCAAUUAUUUGGCAUCAGCACAUACACUUAUUGCAUAAAGCCAAAAAUAGAAAACAAAGUAAAAGUAAGAAAAAAAUCACAGCAAAAAAAUCUUUCUUCAUUAUUAAUCAUGUAUAUUGACGAUUUUACCCCUACAAUCAUCAACUUGCACCUCUUCGUGACAAAGAAAAAAAAAACAGCACGCCGCCCUCUUUGUUUUAAAAUUUUAUUUUAUUUUAAAUUAAUAUUUUAAGAUAUUUUAAUAUAUUAUUGACUAAAAUAAUUUUUAAAAAUAAAAAAAUAUAUUAUUUUAAUAUAUUUUUAAAUGAAACACUUGGAAAAAUAACCGCAAUUAUACUCUUAAACACCUCUUUAAUAAUUCAAGAGAAUCCAAAAACUUUUUUUAUUUUUGUGUUUUGAAAGUAUUAUUUUUUUUGCUUGAAAUUAAAUUUAUUUAUAUUUUUAGAUAUUUUAAUGUGUUGAUAUUAAAAAUUAUUUUUAAAUUAAAAAAUAUAAUUUUUAAAAAAAUACUCUCUUCUAAAUACACAUAAUAAUCAUAAGACAGACAUGAUAGGAUGGUCAUGACCUCCUAGCACCAAGACUCACCAGCCAUGGGCUCCACCCAAGGUGCCAGUUUGCGAUCUUGGGUCCCACAAAAGUUAAGGGCAGCCACUCAAACACAUUAGUGGCAAAUUCGUAGAAACUUGAAAUAUCUACGGGCUUUUAUUGUUGCCUAAAACACCGCGGAAAAAUCCUUACCUUUCCCUUUCAUGAGUCACCACCAGAUGCCAGUCGUAGCAGUGUGGACUCACGUGAUGAUAUUGAAUCUAGACCGUCCAAGGGAGUUAUGUGAUAAAUCAAAGGUUUUUAGUGGGCCCCUUCUCACAUGAUCAUGUUUAAGCGGAUCCUACUGUAAUGAAAUGUUGACCGCGUACUUGCCUCCGUCCAUCGUAUAUACGGGGAGCUCGUUAGGGUUCGUUGGGUAAGUGAAAAAGAAAUAAAUAAAUAAAUAAUGGGACUUGAUUUCGCUAAAUUAAAAAAAGAACUAAACCCUAUCAAUCUAAGGUAGGGUGUUUUUAAUUACACAAAAUAAAUAGCUUUUUGUGGGUAAAAUAGUUUUUUUCCGGAUGAUUUAUUUAGUUUUAUGAAAUUAAUGGGGUGUAAUAGUUUAUUAACUUUUUUCACAAUUAAAUAACAUAAAUACCCUUAAGAAAAAAAAAUAAGAGGGGCUUUUGCAUCUUUUCAUUUUUAAAAUAAAAAAAAUUAAUUCAUUUCUCUUCAAGUAAAUAAAUAAAUAAGAGAUUAAGGAGUAUUUUGAUAUUUUAUCAUGUUUUUUCUAUUAUAAUCUAUUUGAAUUAAAAGUAAAUCAAUUUUUUAACAAAUAAAAAUAUUUUUUUAAAAAAAUCAACGAGUAAAAGUCGCUCGCACACUUUAUGCAGCAUCUUCCGAUGACUAAUAAGGUUCGACCACCAUAUCUUUUCAAAGUGUCCAAUGAAGAUGCAACUAAUGGGGCUGCAUGUGUAGUUCAACACAUGAUAGUUUUGUAACAAUGAGAUUUUUUUCUCCUUUCCACUCUUUUCUCUUCUUUAAAUAAGUGCUCGGUCAACUAAAAUUCAAAGUUGUUCUUCCAUUUAUUUUUAAUUUUAAUUGCGGUCCUUUCUUUUUCUUUUUUUUAUUGGUUUUUCUUUAUUUUGGAUUUUGGUUUUGGUUUUCAUUUAAUUUUAUUUGUUUUUUAUAUCAAAUAUGAUACCCAUUCAUUUGAUUGUUGUUUUUUAAUACUUUUCUUGAUUUGUUCUUUUUUUGUUUCAAUUUUGUCUCUUGAUAUUUUAUUGCAUUUAUUUUUUUAUUCAUUUUUUUCUUUUUAAUUGCUUUUUUUUAUCCUUUUCUUAAUAUUUUUAUUUUGUCCCUCGAUAUUUUAUUUCAUUUUUUAUCUGAUUUUGAUCCUUAUUAUUUUAAAUGCUUUUUUUUAUCAUUUUCUUAUUUUACAGGGGUUAUUCUAGAUUGUGAAUUAGUCAGUUAACUUGACUAUUUUUAGAUUUUUUUCAAUGUUUUUUUUAAGCUUUUUAAAAUUUUAUCAUUUGAAAUUAGACUAUUAAAUCUUGAACUUUUUGAUUUUUUAUGUUUUUGAUUUUUAUGGGGUUAUCUCAGACUAUAGGUUAGUCAGAUUAUCUUGGAUCGCAGGUUAGUCAAGUUAACUCAAAGUGACUUAGAUUUUUUUUCCAAAGUUUUUUUAUUUAUUUUACUUCGAUCCUUUUUUCUAGGUUAUUUUAAAAAAUAUAUUUUUUAAAUCUAGAUCUUAUAUCACGAGUGUGGAUUAAUAUGGUGAACCUAGGUUGACUUAAGUGUUUCUUCAAUAUUUUUUUUAAUUUCAUCAUUUUAGAUUAGGUUAUUAGGCCAUGAGCUUUGUGGUUUUUUUUUUUUCACAUUUCAUUUUAUAGAGUAUUCUGAUCUAAUAUCCUACGUGUUUGCCAAGUUCAUCCGAGUUGGCUUAUAUUACCAUUGCCUGUAUAUUUUUUUUUACAUUAGAAAAAAUCUGAAUUAACUCUAACAUAGUGUGAGUAAAAAAAUUAAUUAAAACUAAAUCUCUUUCUAAUUUGAUUUUAAUUUUCCAGUAAGUAUAUAAAACCAAAAUAUUCACCAAAUAAAUAAGCAUACAAUCAAAAUGUACUAGUGUGAUAAAAUAAAACACAUUUUUUUCUUUAUAUUUCAUAAUUUAGAAUUGUGAGAGAUUAUUAGGUAUAUGUAGUAAUGCACACAUUCAUAAGAAAAAAUGAAACCAUGAAUAUUUUUUUUUUCCUUUUAUGUGAAUGGAAGAGAAGCACAUGGAUACUGUAUAAUGAUUUCGUUUGGAUUAUAGUAUGAAUAGUAAUUCAAGCUUUUUCCUUGAUUUAUCUCUAGAUAGUACUAAUAUUGAAACAUAUGCCUUGAUAAAUAAUCAUAUGCUAUAAAGUUAUAUUGAAUCCAUAAAGAAAUGUUAUGAAACCACACCAUAGCUGCAUGAUAAAUUAAAUUUCAAAAGAAAAUAAAUAAAUAAAUAAAGACUUUCUUCCUAAACAAAAAUUAAACAAUUAAAAUCAAUAAGAAAAAAAUAUUUUGAUUGAUUAAUAUUAAAUCUAGACAAUGUUUCUCUAAUUGAAAGGAAGACUAUGCAUGUUUAUAUAUAUAUAUAGAAUAAGACAUUUAAAAAGAAAGUUUAGAAUAAAACCUGGAUGAUUAAUGACUUUUGACUUGAAUCAUCUUCCCAAUUUUCAAGAAACUUCCAUAACUAAUAACCAAUUAAUUACUCAACAAAUUAAUAAAACAAUUAAUCACCCACAUUAUUUAUUAGUGGCCAAUUAUCAACUGCGACCAACAAUCCAUCAAUUAAUCAUGUUAUAAAAUUGAAAAAAAAAUUAAAUAACUUAUUCCAAAAUUAUACAAAUUAUAAAUAAAAAUAUAUUUAUUAAAUUUGACUAAAUUAGACAAAUUGCAGUGACAUAUUAUCAAGUUAACUUCAAAGAUUUUUUUAAAUUUUUAUCUAAACCUAUAAUUUUUAAUAAUCUAAAAUAAUAUGUUUUAUUUUUAAAAAUAAAAAUAAUAUUAUUUUAAAAUUAAAAUUCGGAAACCCGUGACCAAGCUUUGAUGACAAAGGUAAAAAGAAUAAAUUCAAGAAAAGAUGUUUGAAAACCAUAAAAUAGAAAAACAAAAUUCUAAAAUUAAAACUUUAGAUCCUUUACCCAAACAAGCCACUGAAACUCCAAUGCCAAAAAAAGAACUUGUACAGUACUCUCCGAAUCCCUACGUUAACAAAAUCAACGGCCAAGAUUCAAUCCUUACUCCUAUAUAAAAACAUCACCUUCUCCUCCUUCCUACAUGCCAAGGCUCCACAUUUGCAGAGAUUGAGAGAAAUCCAAGGCCAAAAAAAUGCUUCUUAGAAGCUCAUCAACGCCAAUUCCGAAUUCAUGGAUCCCUCCACACUUGAAAGAACCAUCUCCAGAACCCGAAUCUGUGCACCAAAUUAAAAAAACCCGACCCAUUUUGCUGACAGCAUCAUCUUCUAGUCCAUUUUCUUCAAUUUCUUCACAAGAUCAUGAUUCUUUUAAAAGAAUGACAAGAGCCUUUUCCGAGGCAGAUUUAAGGGACCUCUCAGUGCCAAAGGGAAAACCCAGUAACGGAAUCUUGAAUGGAAUCCCAGUUGAUGAAGAAGUGGAGAAAAAGGUGUCAUUUUGGGAGGGUGGGUUGUUUUUUGAACAGUGUGAGGCUGGAGAGAAGGGGGAGGGUGAUAAUGGGGUGCUGGAGGUUUUGGUGACGGGUGGUGGUAGUGAUGGUGGUGGACGGAAGUUUUGUGGUGGUCGUGGUAGGUCGGAUUUUGGUGAUGAUGGAGGAUCAGGGUCUCAGGAGUCUAAUGAGGGGACUGAAACUACCGAUGUUUAUUAUCAGAAGAUGAUUGAAGCCAAUCCUGGGAAUCCUCUUUUUCUCAGAAAUUAUGCCAGGUUCUUGAAAGAGGUACGUGUUUGCUGUAUUGCAAAGGUUCUUGUUUGCAUGGUUUUUGAUUUUUUUUGUUUUAUUUUUUUAUUGAAUUUGUUUGUGUUAUGGUUAGAUAAUGUGUUUUGUGUGUGUGUGUGUAUGUUUUUUUUUUUUUUGAAGUUUAAAGAAAUGGGAAGCUAUGUUUCUGUCUUGUGUAGUUAAUGUAAUUGUAUAUCAACAGUGAAUAUCCAUCUGAAAUUUGUGCUUUUAAAGCUCCUUUUGUAUAAAAGUUUUGCUCUUUGUAGGAAAUUACUUUAAUGCAUACUCUCAAAGUAUAAAGUUUUUGAAACUCUAAGCUACAGAAUCGUGAGACAAAAAGUUUUUUAGACGUAAAAAAUGAUUUUCAAACACAAAAGGUAAGAGUAUGAGUAAAUUAGGAAUGAUUUAGUAAGUGAAUAGGAGCCAAUCUUGUUGGGCAAGAUUGUUCUAAUGUAUUGUUUUGGAAUUGGAACAGGUUCGUUUGGAUUUUGUAAAAGCUGAAGAGUACUGUGGGAGAGCAAUUCUAGCCAACCCUAAUGAUGCAGAUGUUCUUUCAAUGUAUGCUGAUUUGAUAUGGCAGAAUCAUAAGGAUGCUUCUCGUGCUGAAUCUUAUUUCGAUCGAGCUGUUAAAGCUGCCCCCGAUGAUUGGUAAGCACCUUUGUUGAUUGUAGAGUCCAUAAAAUUUGCUGCUGGAACCUUAGAGACAUGAAUUAUAUCAUGAUCUUAGUUUCAAUUUUGAUGGGAAAAAGGAUUGUACGUGGAUAGACAAUUAUCAGUGUUACAGUAUUGUACUUUACCAUUGUCGCUGUAGUUAUGAUGGAUGCCAAGUUUUAAACAUGUCUUUGUUUUGAUGCUGCAGUUAUGUGAUGGCAUCUUAUGCUCGGUUUCUUUGGGAUGCUGAAGAGGAGGAGGAGGAGGAGGGGGAGGGGGAGCAGGAACAGAGAGAAAACAUGACCAAAUUGUCACCGCGAACUUUUUUCCAUGGAUCCAAGCCUCCUCUCCCUCCUUUAGCCGCCUCAUCUUGAGACCACCACCUCUCCCAAAAACCUUGUAUCAUAGCUUAGACAUAACUUCUGACCUUUGUUUAUACAUCCUUUCUUUUUGCAAUUUUUGUAGUAACCUUUUAAGCUGCACAGUUGAGUUGUUUGAUUACCAUGCUUUGCUCGUCUAGCCAUUUGAUGUAGAAAGAAAAAUAAAAGAUAAGACGAGUUUUUAUGGCA